rnacentral:rRNA from 1 species
AUUGAACGCUGGCGGCAGGCCUACCACAUGCAAGUCGAGCGAGCGGAGGACGGGUGAGUAAUGUAUGGGGAUCUGCCUGAUGGAGGGGGAUAACUACUGGAAACGGUAGCUACUACCGCAUACCAUCAGAUGAACCCAUAUGGGCGGAGCUGGUAGGUGAGGUAACGGCUCACCUAGGAGACGAUCCCUAGCUGGUCUGAGAGGAUGAUCAGCCACACUGGGACUGAGACACGGCCCAGACUCCUACGGGAGGCAGCAGUGGGGAAUAUUGCACAAUGGGCGAAAGUCUGAUGCAGCCACGCCGCGUGUAUGAAGAAGGCCUUCGGGUUGUAAAGUACUUUCAGUCGGGAGGCGUUACCGACAGAAGAAGCACCGGCUAACUCCGUGCCAGCAGCCGCGGUAAUUC